AUGGCGCAAUCUGACGUAAAAAUCAUCUGCUGGAACGUUCGUGGACUUAACUCGCGCGCUCGCCGUGACGCCGUUCGUGAUAUCGUUUGCGACUCCCACGCCUCCAUCGUCUGUCUCCAAGAGACAAAGCUACAACUAGUUGACGACUCCAUCAUCAGGGAGAUGCUUGGCCCUUGCUUCACCGCCAAUUACUUUGUCUUGCCUGCAUCCGGCACUAGAGGAGGAAUGAUCUUGGCCGCGUCGGACCGCUUCUUCGUGCUGUCAAACUGCCAGGCUACUCCGGGCACCAUCUCCGCCUCUGUCUCCAUGCUAAAUGAUCGCAUUGCCUGGACCAUCACUUGCGUCUAUGGUCCUCAGGGUGAGUCGGAGAAGGUGGCUUUCAUUGAGGAGUUGAGGGCUCUCUCUGCCACGACUGGAAGGCAGUGGCUUCUUUUGGGGGAUUUCAAUCUGAUCACUAAAGCGGCGGACAAGAGCAUCGCCAACAUCAAUUGCCGUCUCAUUGGGAAAUUCCGCGGGGCCCUUGACUUCAUGCAGCUAAAAGAGCUACGUAUGUGUGGGAGGCGCUUCACCUGGUCCAACAAGCAAGCAAAUCCGGUCAUGACCAAGAUUGACCACGUUUUCCACUCCGAUGACUGGGAUUUGCUCUUCCCAAAUGCGCAUCUCCAGGCCAUCUCAACGACCUGCUCCGACCAUGCCCCGCUAUUCCUUCAGGGGUGCGUCGACAAUGCGAGGAAGCCAUCCUUCAAGUUUGAGGAGUUCUGGCUGCGACUCCCCGGCUUCCAUGAUGCGGUCGCGGCCGUGUGGAACAAGCCCGUCCUGUCCCGCGAUGCCCUCCGUACGAUAUCAAAUUGUGCCGAACCGCGAAGGCUUUGCGCAAAUGGCAAAAAGAGAGGGUUGGUGUUCUAA
rnacentral:rRNA from 1 species